AUUCAUCCCUGGGUGGGGAUUGGGUGCAUUACUUGUGUCCUGUGUGAAGUAUUGCACUUGUCCCGGCCUGUGGAAGAAAG
rnacentral:pre_miRNA from 1 species